rnacentral:rRNA from 1 species
AACGCGAAGAACCUUACCCACCUUUGACAUGUACGGAAUCCUUUAGAGAUAGAGGAGUGCUCGAAAGAGAACCGUAACACAGGUGCUGCAUGGCUGUCGUCAGCUCGUGUCGUGAGAUGUUGGGUUAAGUCCCGCAACGAGCGCAACCCUUGCCAUUAGUUGCUACAUUUAGUUGGGCACUCUAAUGGGACUGCCGGUGACAAACCGGAGGAAGGUGGGGAUGACGUCAAGUCCUCAUGGCCCUUAUAGGUGGGGCUACACACGUCAUACAAUGGCUGGUACAGAGGGUUGCCAACCCGCGAGGGGGAGCUAAUCCCAUAAAGCCAGUCGUAGUCCGGAUCGCAGUCUGCAACUCGACUGCGUGAAGUCGGAAUCGCUAGUAAUCGCGGAUCAGAAUGUCGCGGUGAAUACGUUCCCGGGCCUUGUACACACCGCGCAUA